AUUUGGGAAUUGUUUUAACUUGUCAAGGGAAAGUCCGCCAUUCCCGAAUAGGCUGAACAGUUUGAAGUUGGAAUGGUUUGAAGCGGGAAUUUUUUUGAAAAUGCUAAAACAUUUGAUUGUUCUGAAUGGUUGGUGUUGGAAUUUUUCAAAUCGGUCGAGAAAUGUUGAAGUAGUAACAUUUUUAACUGAGAAAUGGUAUUACGGAAUUUCGGGAAAACCGGGAAUUCCUGGAAAUUUUUUGAAUGUGGAAAAAUGAUAGUUUGGGUUGAAUGUGGUGAGGGUGAAAUGGUUUAAAAUCGGUCGAAACAUUUUGAAAUUGUGUAAGUUUGAAAAAUGGACAAUUCAUUUUGAAUGGGGAAAAUGAAAAAAAAAAAAAUAGGAAUUUGGGGAAAUCCGGGAAUUUUUUUUUUAACUUGAAAAAAGGGUAGUUUGAAUUUCCAGCAUGGUGGAAUAGUUUGAACGGGUUGAAAAAUGUGGAAAUGGGGAAGGUUUGUAAGUUGGUCAAUUCAUUUUAAAUGGGAAAAUCGUCCUGGAAAUUUGGGAAUUGUUUUAACUUGUCAAGGGAAAGUCCGCCAUUCCCGAAUAGGCUGAACAGUUUGAAGUUGGAAUGGUUUGAAGCGGGAAUUUUUUUGAAAAUGCUAAAACAUUUGAUUGUUCUGAAUGGUUGGUGUUGGAAUUUUUCAAAUCGGUCGAGAAAUGUUGAAGUAGUAACAUUUUUAAUUGAGAAAUGGUAUUACGGAAUUUCGGGAAAACCGGGAAUUCCUGGAAAUUUUUUUGAACGUGGAAAAAUGAUAGUUUGGGUUGAAUGUGGUGAGGGUGAAAUGGUUUAAAAUCGGUUGAAACAUUUUGAAAUUGUGUAAGUUUGAAAAAUGGACAAUUCAUUUUGAAUGGGGAAAAUGGGUAGAAAAAAAUAGGAAUUUGGGUAAAUCCGGGAAAAAAAAAUUUAACUUGAAAAAAGGGUAGUUUGAAUUUCCAGCCUGGUGGAAUAGUUUGAACGGGUUGAAAAAUGUGGAAAUGGGGAAGGUUUGAAAAUUGGUCAAUUCAUUUUAAAUGGGAAAAUCAUCCUGGAAAUUUGGGAAUUGUUUUAAUUUGUCAAGGGAAAGUCCGCCAUUCCCGAAUAGGCUGAACAGUUUGAAGUUGGAAUGGUUUGAAGCGGGAAUUUUUUUGAAAAUGCUAAAACAUUUGAUUGUUCUGAAUGGUUGGUGUUGGAAUUUUUCAAAUCGGUCGAGAAAUGUUGAAGUAGUAACAUUUUUAAUUGAGAAAUGGUAUUACGGAAUUUCGGGAAAACCGGGAAUUCCUGGAAAUUUUUUUGAACGUGGAAAAAUGAUAGUUUGGGUUGAAUGUGGUGAGGGUGAAAUGGUUUAAAAUCGGUUGAAACAUUUUGAAAUUGUGUAAGUUUGAAAAAUGGACAAUUCAUUUUGAAUGGGGAAAAUGGGUAGAAAAAAAUAGGAAUUUGGGUAAAUCCGGGAAAAAAAAAUUUAACUUGAAAAAAGGGUAGUUUGAAUUUCCAGCCUGGUGGAAUAGUUUGAACGGGUUGAAAAAUGUGGAAAUGGGGAAGGUUUGAAAAUUGGUCAAUUCAUUUUAAAUGGGAAAAUCAUCCUGGAAAUUUGGGAAUUGUUUUAAUUUGUCAAGGGAAAGUCCGCCAUUCCCGAAUAGGCUGAACAGUUUGAAGUUGGAAUGGUUUGAAGCGGGAAUUUUUUUGAAAAUGCUAAAACAUUUGAUUGUUCUGAAUGGUUGGUGUUGGAAUUUUUCAAAUCGGUCGAGAAAUGUUGAAGUAGUAACAUUUUUAAUUGAGAAAUGGUAUUACGGAAUUUCGGGAAAACCGGGAAUUCCUGGAAAUUUUUUUGAACGUGGAAAAAUGAUAGUUUGGGUUGAAUGUGGUGAGGGUGAAAUGGUUUAAAAUCGGUUGAAACAUUUUGAAAUUGUGUAAGUUUGAAAAAUGGACAAUUCAUUUUGAAUGGGGAAAAUGGGUAGAAAAAAAUAGGAAUUUGGGUAAAUCCGGGAAAAAAAAAUUUAACUUGAAAAAAGGGUAGUUUGAAUUUCCAGCCUGGUGGAAUAGUUUGAACGGGUUGAAAAAUGUGGAAAUGGGGAAGGUUUGAAAAUUGGUCAAUUCAUUUUAAAUGGGAAAAUCAUCCUGGAAAUUUGGGAAUUGUUUUAAUUUGUCAAGGGAAAGUCCGCCAUUCCCGAAUAGGCUGAACAGUUUGAAGUUGGAAUGGUUUGAAGCGGGAAUUUUUUUGAAAAUGCUAAAACAUUUGAUUGUUCUGAAUGGUUGGUGUUGGAAUUUUUCAAAUCGGUCGAGAAAUGUUGAAGUAGUAACAUUUUUAACUGAGAAAUGGUAUUACGGAAUUUCGGGAAAACCGGGAAUUCCUGGAAAAUUUUUUGAACGUGGAAAAAUGAUAGUUUGGGUUGAAUGUGGUGAGGGUGAAAUGGUUUAAAAUCGGUUGAAACAUUUUGAAAUUGUGUAAGUUUGAAAAAUGGACAAUUCAUUUUGAAUGGGGAAAAUGAAAAAAAAAAAAAUAGGAAUUUGGGGAAAUCCGGGAAUUUUUUUUUUAACUUGAAAAAAAGGGUACUUUGAAUUUCCAGCAUGGUGGAAUAGUUUGAACGGGUUGAAAAAUGUGGAAAUGGGGAAGGUUUGAAAGUUGGUCAAUUCAUUUUAAAUGGGAAAAUCGUCCUGGAAAUUUGGGAAUUGUUUUAACUUGUCAAGGGAAAGUCCGCCAUUCCCGAAUAGGCUGAACAGUUUGAAGUUGGAAUGGUUUGAAGCGGGAAUUUUUUUGAAAAUGCUAAAACAUUUGAUUGUUCUGAAUGGUUGGUGUUGGAAUUUUUCAAAUCGGUCGAGAAAUGUUGAAGUAGUAACAUUUUUAACUGAGAAAUGGUAUUACGGAAUUUCGGUAAAACUGGGAAUUCCUGGAAAUUUUUUGAACGUGGAAAAAUGAUAGUUUGAAUGUCCGGGAUGGGUUGAAUGUGGUGAGGGUGAAAUGGUUUAAAAUCGGUUGAAACAUUUUGAAAUUGUGUAAGUUUGAAAAAUGGACAAUUCAUUUUGAAUGGGGAAAAUGGGUAGAAAAAAAUAGGAAUUUGGGUAAAUCCGGGAAAAAAAAAUUUAACUUGAAAAAAGGGUAGUUUGAAUUUCCAGCCUGGUGGAAUAGUUUGAACGGGUUGAAAAAUGUGGAAAUGGGGAAGGUUUGAAAGUUGGUCAAUUCAUUUUAAAUGGGAAAAUCGUCCUGGAAAUUUGGGAAUUGUUUUAACUUGUCAAGGGAAAGUCCGCCAUUCCCGAAUAGGCUGAACAGUUUGAAGUUGGAAUGGUUUGAAGCGGGAAUUUUUUUGAAAAUGCUAAAACAUUUGAUUGUUCUGAAUGGUUGGUGUUGGAAUUUUUCAAAUCGGUCGAGAAAUGUUGAAGUAGUAACAUUUUUAAUUGAGAAAUGGUAUUACGGAAUUUCGGGAAAACCGGGAAUUCCUGGAAAAUUUUUUGAACGUGGAAAAAUGAUAGUUUGGGUUGAAUGUGGUGAGGGUGAAAUGGUUUAAAAUCGGUCGAAACAUUUUGAAAUUGUGUAAGUUUGAAAAAUGGACAAUUCAUUUUGAAUGGGGAAAAUGAAAAAAAAAAAAAUAGGAAUUUGGGGAAAUCCGGGAAUUUUUUUUUUAACUUGAAAAAAGGGUAGUUUGAAUUUCCAGCAUGGUGGAAUAGUUUGAACGGGUUGAAAAAUGUGGAAAUGGGGAAGGUUUGAAAGUUGGUCAAUUCAUUUUAAAUGGGAAAAUCGUCCUGGAAAUUUGGGAAUUGUUUUAACUUGUCAAGGGAAAGUCCGCCAUUCCCGAAUAGGCUGAACAGUUUGAAGUUGGAAUGGUUUGAAGCGGGAAUUUUUUUGAAAAUGCUAAAACAUUUGAUUGUUCUGAAUGGUUGGUGUUGGAAUUUUUCAAAUCGGUCGAGAAAUGUUGAAGUAGUAACAUUUUUAAUUGAGAAAUGGUAUUACGGAAUUUCGGGAAAACCGGGAAUUCCUGGAAAUUUUUUUGAACGUGGAAAAAUGAUAGUUUGGGUUGAAUGUGGUGAGGGUGAAAUGGUUUAAAAUCGGUUGAAACAUUUUGAAAUUGUGUAAGUUUGAAAAAUGGACAAUUCAUUUUGAAUGGGGAAAAUG